rnacentral:rRNA from 1 species
UCUUGGUCAUUUAGAGGAAGUAAAAGUCGUAACAAGGUCUCCGUUGGUGAACCAGCGGAAGGAUCAUUACCGAGUUUACAACUCCCAAACCCCUGUGAACAUACCACUUGUUGCCUCGGCGGAUCAGCCCGCUCCCGGUAAAACGGGACGGCCCGCCAGAGGACCCCUAAACUCUGUUUCUAUAUGUAACUUCUGAGUAAAACCAUAAAUAAAUCAAAACUUUCAACAACGGAUCUCUUGGUUCUGGCAUCGAUGAAGAACGCAGCAAAAUGCGAUAAGUAAUGUGAAUUGCAGAAUUCAGUGAAUCAUCGAAUCUUUGAACGCACAUUGCGCCCGCCAGUAUUCUGGCGGGCAUGCCUGUUCGAGCGUCAUUUCAACCCUCAAGCACAGCUUGGUGUUGGGACUCGCGUUAAUUCGCGUUCCCCAAAUUGAUUGGCGGUCACGUCGAGCUUCCAUAGCGUAGUAGUAAAACCCUCGUUACUGGUAAUCGUCGCGGCCACGCCGUUAAACCCCAACUUCUGAAUGUUGACCUCGGAUCAGGUAGGAAUACCCGCUGAACUUAAGCAUAUCAAUAAGCGGAGGA